CACGCUGUAAACGAUGAAUACUAGGUGUGCGGGGACUGACCCCCUGCGUGCCGCAGCUAACGCAAUAAGUAUUCCACCUGGGGAGUACGAUCGCAAGGUUGAAACUCAAAGGAAUUGACGGGGGCCCGCACAAGCGGUGGAUUAUGUGGUUUAAUUCGAAGCAACGCGAAGAACCUUACCAGGGCUUGACAUCCUACUAACGAAGUAGAGAUACAUCAGGUGCCCUUCGGGGAAAGUAGAGACAGGUGG
rnacentral:rRNA from 1 species